GAGAUUAUGACCUGAGCCAAAAUCAAGAGUCAGACACUUGACCGACUGAGCCACCCAGGUGCCUUAAGGAAAGAAAGAAGUACCAAUAGAUGCUACAAUACAGAUGGACCUUGAAAACAUGCCAAAUGAAAGAAGCCAGGCACAAAAGACCACAUAUUACAUGAUUCUGUCUUUGUGAAACAUCUAGAAUAGGCAAAUCCACAAAGCCAUAAAGUAGAGUAGUGACUGCCAAGGGCUGGGGGUACAUGGGAAUAGGAAGUGACUGCUGACUGACAUGUGAAUUUUUUAGGGCAGUGAAAAUGCUCUGGAAUUAGAUAAUGAUGUUGGUUGCACAACUCUUUCAAUAUACUGAAAACAACUGAAUUGUACAUUCUAAAAUGAUGAAUUUUUUGGACUGUGAAUUCUGUCUCAAUAAAAAGAUUAAAAUCUGCU